CAGUCGCCGCGGGAAAACGAAGGGUGCAAGCGUUACUCGGAAUUACUGGGCGUAAAGCGUGCGUAGGUGGUGGUUUAAGUCCGUUGUGAAAGCCCUGGGCUCAACCUGGGAAUUGCAGUGGAUACUGGGUCACUAGAGUGUGGUAGAGGAUAGUGGAAUUUCCGGUGUAGCAGUGAAAUGCGUAGAGAUCGGAAGGAACAUCUGUGGCGAAGGCGACUAUCUGGGCCAACACUGACACUGAGGCACGAAAGCGUGGGGAGCAAACAGGAUUAGAUACCCCUGUAGUCCUGUCUCUUAUACA
rnacentral:rRNA from 1 species